rnacentral:misc_RNA from 1 species
AACGCAACUUGCGCCCUUUGGUAUUCCGAAGGGCACGCCUGUUUGAGUGUCGUGAAACUCUCUCAAGGACCUCGACUUUCUUGUCGAGGUUGCUUGGAUUUGGAGGUCAUUGCAGGUGACGCCUAACAACGCAUUAUGCGUGUAAGGCGGAUCUGCUCCUCUAGAAUGUAGCAGUGGGGCUCUUGCGAUGUGCACUUACCCUCGGUGUUGUAGUUACACACUUGCGCCACGGGUUAGGUCAUUGCCUAUUUGUUUCGAUUGUUAUUCAACGACCGGAAGGGAGCCUUGCUUCAAACCGUGGCUUAUCUUUUUAAGUACACACAUUUGAAUCUUUUGACCUCAAAUCAGGCGGGACUACCCGCUGAACUUAA